rnacentral:tRNA from 1 species
GGCCAGCAUGGCAUAGUGGUUUGAGUGUUGGACUACAACUCUGGAGACCAGGGUUUGAUUCCCAGCUUGGCCA